rnacentral:rRNA from 1 species
AACGAACGCUGGCGGCAUGCUUAACACAUGCAAGUCGAACGAGACCUUCGGGCUUAGUGGCGCACGGGUGCGUAACACGUGGUAACUUGCCCUUAGGUUCGGAAUAACUCCCCGAAAGGGGUGCUCAUACCGGUUAAGCUCUUAGGGGCAAAGAUUUAUUGCCUUUGGAUGGGCCCGCGUUGGAUUAGCUAGUUGGUAGGGUAAUAGCCUACCAAGGCGACGAUCCAUAGCUGGUCUGUGAGGAUGAUCAGCCACACUGGGACUGAGACACGGCCCAGACUCCGACGGGAGGCAGCAGUGGGGAAUAUUGGACAAUGGGCGAAAGCCUAGUCCAGCAAUGCCGCGGGAGUGAGGAAGGCCUUAGGAUUGUAAAGCUCUUUUACCCGGGAUGAUAAUGACGGUACCGGGAGAAUAAGCUCCGGCUAACUCCGUG